rnacentral:rRNA from 1 species
AACGAACGCUGGCGGCAGGCUUAACACAUGCAAGUCGAGCGCCCCGCAAGGGGAGCGGCAGACUGGUGAGUAACACGUGGGAAUCUAACCAUCCCUACGGAACAACUCCGGGAAACUGGAGCUAAUACCGUAUACGACCUUUGGGGGAAAGGUUUAUCGGGGAUGGAUGAGCCCGCGUUGGAUUAGCUAGGUGGUGGGGUAAAGGCCUACCAAGGCGACGAUCCAUAGCUGGUCUGGGAGGAUGAUCAGCCACAUUGGGACUGAGACACAGCCCAAUCUCGUACGGGAGGGAGCAGUGGGGAAUAGUGGAGAAUGGGGGCAAGCCUGAUCCAGCCAUGCCGCGUGAAUGAUGAAGGCGUAGGGGUUGUAAAGUUCUUUCGCCAAUGAAGAAAAUGACGGUAGUCGGAGAAGAAGCCCCGGCUAACUUCGUGCCAGCCGCCGCCGUAAGAC